CGAUACUUGGUGUGAAUUGCAGAAUUCAGUGAAUCAUCGAAUCUUUGAACGCACCUUGCGCCCUUUGGUAUUCCGAGGGGCAUGCCUGUUUGAGUGUCAUUAAAUACCAUCAACCCUCUUUUGACUUCGGUCUCGAGAGUGGCUUGGAAGUGGAGGUCUGCUGGAGCCUAACGGAGCCAGCUCCUCUUAAAUGUAUUAGCGGAUUUCCCUUGCGGGAUCGCGUCUCCGAUGUGAUAAUUUCUACGUCGUUGACCAUCUCGGGGCUGACCUAGUCAGUUUCAAUAGGAGUCUGCUUCCAACCGUCUCUUGACCGAGACUAGCGACUUGUGCGCUAACUUUUGACUUGACCUCAAAUCAGGUAGGACUACCCGCUGAACUUAAGCAUAUCAAUAAGCGGAGGAA
rnacentral:rRNA from 1 species